GCCUGCUCUUUUACAGGUCUAUUUGAUAUGCUUUUCAUCUUGAUUUAUCUCCAAUCUUAAGGUAGUUUGUUGACCUUUUCUUUUGUUCUACCGAUAACUUUCAAUGCAAUUUAAUCAGAUUACAAUAAUCUGAUUGUAUUAUUUGCUUUAGAGUUCAGAGUCAGUAUUCAUGUUACCUGCCUAAAACAUUACAUAACCAGGAUCUAAGAUCUUUCUCCGUUGCCUCUAACGAGGAUCUAAGAGCUCGUUUCGGAUCUCGUUCUGUGCUGUGGAAUAAUGGAUACUCGUAAACGAGGGAGGAAUGAAGCUACUGGCUUUCAUGCUAAUGGAGGCUUCAAGAAGAACAAGCAAGUUUUGAUUGAAUGACUCCCUGCACCAAGUUUUUCAGGUUAUGAUUGAAGAUAUUGGGAAGCAGAUUAAGCAACUAUAAACCUACAAGGUGCAAGACAUUGAUUUACUUGACUAGAAUUGUUGAACUGUAAUUUGUUAUACUUUAUAAAUUUGUUUGCAUAUGGUGUAUUUUGAUUCAGUUAAUAUUGCAUUUGGUGGUGUAUUUUGAGGGGUG